rnacentral:rRNA from 1 species
UACGGAGGGUGCAAGCGUUACUCGGAAUCACUGGGCGUAAAGCGCGCGCAGGCGGCCAUUUAAGUUGGAUGUGAAAGCCUACGGCUCAACCGUAGAACUGCAUCCAAAACUAUUUGGCUAGAGUGUGGGAGAGGAAGAUGGAAUUAGUUGUGUAGGGGUAAAAUCCGUAGAGAUAACUAGGAAUACCAAAAGCGAAGGCAAUCUUCUGGAACAUUACUGACGCUGAGGCGCGAAAGCGUGGGGAGCAAACAGGAUUAGAUACCCUAGUAGUCC